rnacentral:rRNA from 1 species
AACCUCCGCAAUGUGAGAAAUCGCGACGGGGGGAUCCCAAGUGCCAUUCUUAACGGGAUGGCUUUUCAUUAGUAUAAAGAGCUUUUGGAAUAAGAGCUGGGCAAGACCGGUGCCAGCCGCCGCGGUAACACCGGCAGCUCUAGUGGUAACAAUUUUUAUUGGGCCUAAAGCGUCCGCAGCCGGUUUAAUAAGUCUCUGGUGAAAUCCUGCAGCUUAACUGUGGGAAUUGCUGGAGAUACUAUUAGACUUGAGACCGGGAGAGGUUAGAGGUAUUCCCAGGGUAGAGGUGAAAUUCUGUAAUCCUGGGAGGACCGCCUGUUGCGAAGGCGUCUAACUGGAACGGUUCUGACGGUGAGGGACGAAAGUUAGGGGCGCGAACCGGAUUAGAUACCCGGGUAGUCCUAACUGUAAACGAUGCGGACUUGGUGUUGGGGUGGCUUUGAGCUGCUCCAGUGCCGAGGGGAAGCUGUUAAGUCCGCCGCCUGGGAAGUACGGUCGCAAGACUGAAACUUAAAGGAAUU